AUAAACGCUAGCGGCAGGCCUAACACAUGCAAGUCGAGGGGCAGCGGAAGAAGUAGCUUGCUACUUCUGCCGGCGACCGGCGCACGGGUGCGUAACGCGUAUGCAACCUACCUUUAACAGGGGGAUAAUCCGAAGAAAUUUGGUCUAAUACCCCAUAAUAUUUCAGAAGGCAUCUUUUGAGGUUGAAAACUCCGGUGGUUAAAGAUGGGCAUGCGUUGUAUUAGCUAGAUGGUGAGGUAACGGCUCACCAUUGCGAUGAUACAUAGGGGGACUGAGAGGUUUUCCCCCCACACUGGUACUGAGACACGGACCAGACUCCUACGGGAGGCAGCAGUGAGGAAUAUUGGUCAAUGGACGCAAGUCUGAACCAGCCAUGCCGCGUGCAGGAUGAAGGUGCUAUGCAUUGUAAACUGCUUUUGUACGAGGGUAAAUUCAGAUACGUGUAUCUGUUUGAAAGUAUCGUACGAAUAAGGAUCGGCUAACUCCGUGCCAGCAGCCGCGGUAAUACGGAGGAUCCGAGCGUUAUCCGGAUUUAUUGGGUUUAAAGGGUGCGUAGGCGGUUUGAUAAGUUAGAGGUGAAAGCUCGAUGCUCAACAUCGAAAUUGCCUCUGAUACUGUCAGACUAGAGUGUAGUUGCGGAAGGCGGAAUGUGUGGUGUAGCGGUGAAAUGCUUAGAUAUCACACAGAACACCGAUUGCGAAGGCAGCUUUCCAAGCUAUUACUGACGCUGAGGCACGAAAGCGUGGGUAGCGAACAGGAUUAGAUACCCUGGUAGUCCACGCCGUAAACGAUGAUAACUCGUUGCCGGCGAUAUAGUGUCGGUGACUAAGCGAAAGCGAUAAGUUAUCCACCUGGGGAGUACGUUCGCAAGAAUGAAACUCAAAGGAAUUGACGGGGACCCGCACAAGCGGUGGAGCAUGUGGUUUAAUUCGAAGCAACGCGAAGAACCUUACCAGGUCUUGACAUGCAACUGAAUAUAGUGGAAACAUUAUAGCCGCAAGGCAGUUGUGAAGGUGCUGCAUGGUUGUCGUCAGCUCGUGCCGUGAGGUGUCGGGUUAAGUCCCAUAACGAGCGCAACCCCUACUGUUAGUUGCCAGCAUGUCAAGAUGGGCACUCUAGCAGGACUGCCGGUGUAAGCCGAGAGGAAGGUGGGGAUGACGUCAAAUCAGCACGGCCCUUACGUCCGGGGCGACACACGUGUUACAAUGGUCGGUACAGAGGGUAGCUACCUGGUGACAGGAUGCCAAUCUCGAAAGCCGAUCUCAGUUCGGAUUGGAGGCUGAAACUCGCCUCCAUGAAGUUGGAUUCGCUAGUAAUCGCGCAUCAGCCAUGGCGCGGUGAAUACGUUCCCGGGCCUUGUACACACCGCCCGUCAAGCCAUGGGAGUUGGGGGUGCCUGAAGUACGUGACCGCAAGGAGCGUCCUAGGGCAAAACCGAUGACUGGGGCU
rnacentral:rRNA from 1 species